rnacentral:rRNA from 1 species
AUUUAAAUAAAUAAAGGUAGUAAUAUUUAAUUAAACCAACUGAUAAUGGCGGCAUUAUACCUUAUUAGAGGAAUUUGUUUAUUAAUCGAUACUACACGAUAACUUUUACUUAAUUUAAAAUUUCAUAUAUCUCCAUUUUAAAAUUAAUAAUUAUAUAAUAUUUAAAAUCAUUUUUAUAAAAAAUUAGGUCAAGAUGUGGAAUAUAAUUAAGAUUAAAUGAAUUACAUUAAAUUAAAUUUAGUAAAAAUUAUAAAAAUAAUUAAAUUUAAGAAUUUAAAAGUAAAAUAUAAAUAAUAAUUAUAUUUGAAUAAGAUAAUAAAUGUGC